GGACCGAACCGACUAAUGUUGAAAAAUUAGCGGAUGACUUGUGGCUGGGGGUGAAAGGCCAAUCAAACCGGGAGAUAGCUGGUUCUCCCCGAAAGCUAUUUAGGUAGCGCCUCGUGAAUUCAUCUCCGGGGGUAGAGCACUGUUUCGGCAAGGGGGUCAUCCCGACUUACCAACCCGAUGCAAACUGCGAAUACCGGAGAAUGUUAUCACGGGAGACACACGGCGGGUGCUAACGUCCGUCGUGAAGAGGGAAACAACCCAGACCGCCAGCUAAGGUCCCAAAGUCAUGGUUAAGUGGGAAACGAUGUGGGAAGGCCCAGACAGCCAGGAUGUUGGCUUAGAAGCAGCCAUCAUUUAAAGAAAGCGUAAUAGCUCACUGGUCGAGUCGGCCUGCGCGGAAGAUGUAACGGGGCUAAACCAUGCACCGAAGCUGCGGCAGCGACGCUGAUGCGUUGUUGGGUAGGGGAGCGUUCUGUAAGCCUGUGAAGGUGUGCUGUGAGGUAUGCUGGAGGUAUCAGAAGUGCGAAUGCUGACAUAAGUAACGAUAAAGCGGGUGAAAAGCCCGCUCGCCGGAAGACCAAGGGUUCCUGUCCAACGUUAAUCGGGGCAGGGUGAGUCGACCCCUAAGGCGAGGCCGAAAGGCGUAGUCGAUGGGAAACAGGUUAAUAUUCCUGUACUUGGUGUUACUGCGAAGGGGGGACGGAGAAGGCUAUGUUGGCCGGGCGACGGUUGUCCCGGUU
rnacentral:rRNA from 1 species